CCUACGGGUGGCAGCAGUGGGGAAUAUUGGACAAUGGGGGGAACCCUGAUCCAGCGACGCCGCGUGAGUGAAGAAGUAUUUCGGUAUGUAAAGCUCUAUCAGCAGGGAAGAAAGAAAUGACGGUACCUGACUAAGAAGCCCCGGCUAACUACGUGCCAGCAGCCGCGGUAAUACGUAGGGGGCAAGCGUUAUCCGGAUUUACUGGGUGUAAAGGGAGCGUAGACGGCGAUGCAAGUCUGAAGUGAAAGGCGGGGGCCCAACCCCUGGACUGCUUUGGAAACUGUAUGGCUGGAGUACAGGAGAGGUAAGUGGAAUUCCUAGUGUAGCGGUGAAAUGCGUAGAUAUUAGGAGGAACACCAGUGGCGAAGGCGGCUUACUGGACUGUAACUGACGUUGAGGCUCGAAAGCGUGGGGAGCAAACAGGAUUAGAUACCCUUGUAGUC
rnacentral:rRNA from 1 species